GUGCUCGCUUUGGCAGCACAUAUACUAAAAAUUUGAAUGAUAUAGAGAUUAGCAUGGCCUCUGCACAAGGACGACACACAAAUUCAUGAAGCAUUCCAUAUUAAA